GAUGAAUUGCCCGAGUUGGUCUAAGGGGUUGGAUUUAGGCUCCAAUACGUAAGUGCGUGGGUUCAAAUCCCACAUUCAUCA
rfam:Bathycoccus prasinos genomic : Chromosome_2.